rnacentral:rRNA from 1 species
CCUACGGGGGGCUGCAGUAGGGAAUAUUGCACAAUGGGCGAAAGCCUGAUGCAGCAACGCCGCGUGUGCGAAGAAGGCCUUCGGGUCGUAAAGCACUUUUCUGGGAGAUGAGAAAGGACAGUAUCCCAGGAAUAAGUCUCGGCUAACUACGUGCCAGCAGCCGCGGUAAAACGUAGGAGGCGAGCGUUAUCCGGAUUCACUGGGCGUAAAGCGCGUGCAGGCGGUUUGGUAAGUUGGGCGUGAAAGCUCCCGGCUCAACUGGGAGAGGUCGUCCAAAACUACCAGACUAGAGAGCGAUAGAGGAAAAUGGAAUUCCCGGUGUAGUGGUGAAAUGCGUAGAUAUCGGGAGGAACACCAGUGGCGAAGGCGAUUUUCUGGAUCGUUUCUGACGCUCAGACGCGAAAGCUAGGGUAGCAAACGGGAUUAGAUACCCCUGUAGUCC